rnacentral:rRNA from 1 species
GUGAAGCCAAGCUUGCUUGGUGGAUCAGUGGCGAACGGGUGAGUAACACGUGAGCAACCUGCCCUGGACUCUGGGAUAAGCGCUGGAAACGGCGUCUAAUACUGGAUAUGUGACGUGAUCGCAUGGUCGUGUUUGGAAAGAUUUUUCGGUCUGGGAUGGGCUCGCGGCCUAUCAGCUUGUUGGUGAGGUAAUGGCUCACCAAGGCGUCGACGGGUAGCCGGCCUGAGAGGGUGACCGGCCACACUGGGACUGAGACACGGCCCAGACUCCUACGGGAGGCAGCAGUGGGGAAUAUUGCACAAUGGGCGGAAGCCUGAUGCAGCAACGCCGCGUGAGGGAUGACGGCCUUCGGGUUGUAAACCUCUUUUAGCAGGGAAGAAGCGAAAGUGACGGUACCUGCAGAAAAAGCGCCGGCUAACUACGUGCCAGCAGCCGCGGUAAUACGUAGGGCGCAAGCGUUAUCCGGAAUUAUUGGGCGUAAAGAGCUCGUAGGCGGUUUGUCGCGUCUGCUGUGAAAUCCCGAGGCUCAACCUCGGGCCUGCAGUGGGUACGGGCAGACUAGAGUGCGGUAGGGGAGAUUGGAAUUCCUGGUGUAGCGGUGGAAUGCGCAGAUAUCAGGAGGAACACCGAUGGCGAAGGCAGAUCUCUGGGCCGUAACUGACGCUGAGGAGCGAAAGGGUGGGGAGCAAACAGGCUUAGAUACCCUGGUAGUCCACCCCGUAAACGUUGGGAACUAGUUGUGGGGACCAUUCCACGGUUUCCGUGACGCAGCUAACGCAUUAAGUUCCCCGCCUGGGGAGUACGGCCGCAAGGCUAAAACUCAAAGGAAUUGACGGGGACCCGCACAAGCGGCGGAGCAUGCGGAUUAAUUCGAUGCAACGCGAAGAACCUUACCAAGGCUUGACAUAUACGAGAACGGGCCAGAAAUGGUCAACUCUUUGGACACUCGUAAACAGGUGGUGCAUGGUUGUCGUCAGCUCGUGUCGUGAGAUGUUGGGUUAAGUCCCGCAACGAGCGCAACCCUCGUUCUAUGUUGCCAGCACGUAAUGGUGGGAACUCAUGGGAUACUGCCGGGGUCAACUCGGAGGAAGGUGGGGAUGACGUCAAAUCAUCAUGCCCCUUAUGUCUUGGGCUUCACGCAUGCUACAAUGGCCGGUACAAAGGGCUGCAAUACCGUGAGGUGGAGCGAAUCCCAAAAAGCCGGUCCCAGUUCGGAUUGAGGUCUGCAACUCGACCUCAUGAAGUCGGAGUCGCUAGUAAUCGCAGAUCAGCAACGCUGCGGUGAAUACGUUCCCGGGUCUUGUACACACCGCCCGUCAAGUCAUGAAAGUCGGUAACACCUGAAGCCGGUGGCCCAACCCUUGUGGAGGGAGCCGUCGAAGGUGGGAUCGGUAAUU